rnacentral:tRNA from 1 species
UAGCUCAGGGGAUAGAGCAACUGACUUCUAAUCAGUAGGUCGUAGGUUCGAUUCCUA